GAUGAACGCUGGCGGCAUGCCUAAUACAUGCAAGUCGAACGAGAGGAAGGAAAGCUUGCUUUUCUGAAUCUAGUGGCGAACGGGUGAGUAACACGUAGGUAACCUGCCCAUGUGCCCGGGAUAACUUCUGGAAACGGAUGCUAAAACCGGAUAGGUAGCAGACAAGCAUUUGACUGCUAUUAAAGUGGCUAAGGCCAUGAACAUGGAUGGACCUGCGGUGCAUUAGCUAGUUGGUGAGGUAACGGCCCACCAAGGCGACGAUGCAUAGCCGGCCUGAGAGGACGGACGGCCACAUUUGAACUGAGACACGGCCCAAACUCCUACGGGAGGCAGCAGUAGGGAAUUUUCGUCAAUGGGGGGAACCCUGAACGAGCAAUGCCGCGUGAGUGAGGAAGGUCUUCGGAUCGUAAAGCUCUGUUGUAAGAGAAAAACGACGUUCAUAGGUAAUGAUGAGUGAGUGAUGGUAUCUUACCAGAAAGUCACGGCUAACUACGUGCCAGCCGCCGCAGUAA
rnacentral:rRNA from 1 species